AGGAGGGUGAAGGAGGGAUGGGGCCUGUAUCUUUGUCCCCAUGAAACUCCAAACAGCCCCUGUAUCCCACUCGUGUUUCCUGCCUUCUACAAGUCUCCUGCUGCCCAGUUCUCGCUGGGAACCAUCACUACUUUCUGGUCUGGUCCUCUAGGCCCGGGAUGUCCGUAAUAGUGAGGUUGUGGCCAUCAAGAAGAUGUCCUACAGUGGGAAGCAGUCAAAUGAGAAAUGGCAGGACAUCAUUAAAGAGGUGCGGUUCCUACAGAAACUCCGACAUCCCAAUACCAUUCAGUACCGGGGCUGUUACCUGAGGGAGCAUACGGCUUGGCUGGUGAUGGAGUAUUGCCUGGGCUCAGCUUCUGAUCUUCUAGAAGUACACAAGAAGCCCUGCAGGAAGUGGAG